ACCGCAACGCUAUCCCACCUUCCUUAUCCCUCUCCUCUGUCCUCUCAAAUUUGCCUCGCCGCUGCCACCCGCAGCCACCGUCGCGGUUGUCAAUCUGGACGAGAAGGAGCCACCUCGAGGCUCACCAACGGCGUAGCCAUAUCUCUGUGCUCGGCGCCACACAAGGCUCAUCUCUCUAAUUCCUUCGCUGUUGUCCUCUAAGGAGUUUUCUUCAUCUCGCUCAUCCCCUCACCGUCGUUCCGCCCCGGGCACCUUGGCCUCCUCCAGUACGCAUCGGCUUUGACGAGGGACUCCAAGAGGACCCCCGACCUGUUCGGCCGCUCUCACCGGCGUCGACCCGGACGGUUCUAUCCCACACGUCUCCUCCUACCUUUUCCCCCGAGACAACGACGACGACGCUGAAUGGGAGGAGGACGAGGACCCGAUCCUUCUUCCCGCGCAUUGAGGAGGCUGCAGUCGCAUCGACCUGGAGCGACGGUGCCCCCUACCGAGUACCAACGCCCGACGCCCAGCACAGUACUACCGGACUCUUCCUCCAGCUCUAUGAAAUCAGGCCUCUGAUUAGCAAUGGUCGGACGGGCCGGCCUCCCAUGCAUCAAUGCAUGGAUGCGCAGAACUAUUUCGGGGGAGAGGAGAAUCAAGGAGACGCACAGUACGUACGUGGCCCGGCCACCGCCACCACACAGCGUCAACUGGCUGACCGCGUGCAUCUCAAGUGGAGGCGUGUCGACCAGGAAUUUGGCCGAACGCGAUCCAGCCUCGCCUACGCCUCGUCGCCAAUGGACGCAUUUGAAAGGAAAGUUUCUCCUAUAUAUAUGCUCCCUUCUCCAAAACUGCAUAAUUGAUGCCCAUGUACAUGCAUGGCCUUGUCAAAUCUCCGGCAAGAAAACAUCAUGCUGCUCCACACACAAAAAUUGAGGUUGGCAAGCUGAUUACUUCAUUAAAUUACACACCCCAGGAGUGUGUCUUCAAAUGACUCAACUUGUGUGCAGAAAACAGUUGUUUCGGUAAACAUUUGAUUGUUUAGAUGAAGAGAUUUAGCUUUUCCUUCCUAACUCAAGUAAGUAUUCUUUUUUAAUGGAAUAAUGGUUUCCUUGAAUUUCAGAGGUAAUAUAUAUUAUGCAGAAUAGCUCUUUUCCUCGGGCUUGCUGGGUGGAGACCUGUAUGUUCAUGUUGAUUGAGUAUCCACAUUGAAUCACCCCAUAUAGGGGUGGGCACUUUUGAACCGAAAACCGAAAAACCAAACCGAACCGAACCAUAUUAACCGAUUUAUCUAUUAGUUUGGUGAUUCGAUUUUUUGUUCGGUGGGAAAUUUUAAGGUUGUUCGGUGUUUGGUUUUUGUUCGGUUUCCAGUGCCCAAAAACCGAAUACACCGAAAAAACCAAUAUGUACGAUACCCCAUGCAAUACCUUGUUUUCGAAAGUUCAGCGGGGACGCGUCCUCUGACAAAUACUUGUUGGUUGUGGCAGACGUCAAGCCAGCCCCUAGAUGAGUUUCUAAUCUCACAAUCUAACUAGUACUCCUAUGUAACGCCAUACUAGCAUGGCUAACUGAAUUUGUUUAGAUUAUUUUACUAUUGUUUGCAUGCAACAUAGUCAAUGGCCGUAUCCUUCUAGCAGGUACUUAUUAAGAUUUCUUUUUUUUGUUUGAAAACUUAUUAAGAUUUCUAUCCAUGCAAUAUCGCGUAGGAGUAUGUAUGCAUGCCCGGCGCUUGCUUACGGAAUACUAGCAAUUAGUAUAUCAAUUAAUGCAUGAGUUGCUUAGUUUACACGCAUCACACAUAUUCUUCCAUACAUAAUACAUGUAACGCCCCAUGUGAUUUUACACUUAGUUAUGUUCACUAGUUUGCUUGACCGAAUAAAGCACUGACUGAUGUUAAGGUUGCUAGCUCUUGUGAUAUAUACUGAUGAGUGCAUGUAUUUUGGUUUUUCGGUUAACCAAAUAAACCGAACCGAUAUAUUAUGGUUAAUAUGGUUCGGUUUCUAAAUAUUGUGUGAUUAAUUCGGUUUCCAUUUCUUCAAAACCGAAAUUAUAAAACACCGAAUAAACCGAACCGUAUUAACCAUAUAAACCGAAUGCCCAGCCCUAACCCCAUAUGCUACUUGAACGACCCCUCGAAUCAGCUACAUAAGUGGUCUCCAUUUCCUUGCUACAGAUUGCACCGAUGCGUGGCGGCGGCAGUGGAUUGCCAAGGGUGUGUUGAGCUCUAGCGCCCCGCCACCGCCAUAGCAGUCACACCCGAGUUUCCUUCCGGAUAAUCCAAACCCCGGCAGCUGUCGUAGCAGCUGCAGAUGGCUUGCUAGGCGAUUCCCUGCGUCAUUUUCAUCUUCCCAAAGACAAAGUAUGGGUUGAUUCCAUUGUUUGAUGUUGGAAUCGGCGAGGCUGGUCGUAUUGGCGGUAUCCUCCGAUGUGCACGCCUCUGAAGGUCCAUCGAGUAAGAACAUUAUUUCCUAUGGGAGUCCUCACACAAAUAUCACAAUUCUAUAAACCCUUUAUUUCCUUCAACUAAUUUUGCAAUAACAAUAAUUCUUCUGUUUUUCUAAGCUUCGUAAUGUGUUACUGCGUGAAUUUUUUUUUGUAGUCUUAAUAGCAUGUACAUUUUAUUUUCCGCACACCAAGCUCCAAUGGACACAUGGAAAACAGAUACCAAUUGCUCUGAAGUUUGCAUAUCAGAAUCGUAUCAAUUUCUCUAAAAUGGGUGUCUAUCCUAUUCUCCAUUUCAUUUUUGAAUGCCUUGCAGAAGGACUUAGCCCCUUGAAAGGUGAUAUUUUGGUCAUUGUUGGGGGCUGGGGCCUAGCUUUGCACUGUCAAUGUUACCGAGGAGUAUAUUGUCAAGAAAAGUAACAGAAUUGAGGUGAUGGCAAUGCCAGGGAAUUUUGCAGCAAUUAUAAGUGGUAUACAGAUGUAUCCUUUGGCUAAUUGCAAUCAUGAAUUGUACUCUCUUCAUUUGGGAAAUUGAUAUACAGCGCCCUUGAUAUUACAACAGGGGCAUACUUGAGGGAAGAACUUACAUCAAAUAUAAUGGAAUGCCAAUGCAGCGACUCUCCUUCCCUCCCUGUGCUUUAGUUAUUCUAAUUUAGUUUCACUAAACUGAAACUGCAGUCAUAGAUCAACGGUUUUUAUCUGAACUUCGGAUCUAACUGUGUUACAUAUUUAACUCUUAAUUAAGAAUGUGAGAGAUUACAGCUGCAGGAAUGAUGGCAAUGUCACUCAUUUGCACGUUUACGAAUCCACGCCCCAUGGUGUUUUUCGAGCUGUCUCAUGCUAAACUACUGAUUGCUAAAAUCCGGUGUGCUAUAUGAUUCUUCGAAGGCAACACAACUUUCUCUUGUUGUCAACUACUCCCUCCGUUUCAAAUUACUCGUCAUGGUUUUAGUUCAAAUUUGAAUUAAACCCACGACGAGUAAUUUGGAACGGAGGGAGUAGAAUUUUUUUUCAGAUUUAUAUUAUUUUUCUUUGGAUUGGUGAAGUGCCUUAGUUUUACAAUGUAUUUGAUGCAAGCAUAACACUGUACAAAAUCAUGGGUUCAGUCAAAUGAAAGAUGUGCCUGGGGUACUUUGUUAAUCCCCUUUCAAA